UUGACGGAAGGGCACCACCAGGAGUGGAGCCUGCGGCUUAAUUUGACUCAACACGGGGAAACUCACCAGGUCCAGACACAAUAAGGAUUGACAGAUUGAGAGCUCUUUCUUGAUUUUGUGGGUGGUGGUGCAUGGCCGUUCUUAGUUGGUGGAGUGAUUUGUCUGCUUAAUUGCGAUAACGAACGAGACCUUAACCUACUAAAUAGUGCGAUUUGCUUUUGCAGAUUUUGACACUUCUUAGAGGGACUAUCGAUUUCAAGUCGAUGGAAGUUUGAGGCAAUAACAGGUCUGUGAUGCCCUUAGACGUUCUGGGCCGCACGCGCGCUACACUGACGGAGCCAGCGAGUAAUAUCCUUUGCCGAGAGGUAUGGGUAAUCUUGUGAAACUCCGUCGUGCUGGGGAUAGAGCAUUGCAAUUAUUGCUCUUCAACGAGGAAUUCCUAGUAAGCGCAAGUCAUCAGCUUGCGUUGAUUACGUCCCUGCCCUUUGUACACACCGCCCGUCGCUACUACCGAUUGAAUGGCUUAGUGAGGCUUCCGGAUCGGCCUAGAGUAGGAGGCAACUCCCUCUCGGGGCUGAGAAGCUAGUCAAA
rnacentral:rRNA from 1 species